CGUACACGUAAAUAUUCAACAAUUCCGUUUUCCAGUCGUUAACCAGCAUGGAAUUGGAAGCACUGUACGAACGUAGUCGAAGAUACUCGAAAGAUACUCGAACACGAUACACGUUCGCCGCUGUCUAUUGUUCUGGCAGUUUGAAUGUUUACAUUCGUGUUACGUUGACGAAUUUUGCGUAUGUGUCGCGUCUUGCUCGUUCAUUUACUUUUGUUAUAUAGUGUAAUCAAUUAGUAUUUUAUCGUUAAUACCGAUUUCGAUUCGUGUUUAUUGAUUAAUCGUGUUGUGUAUUGUGUAUUUUUACAAGUGUCGGUGUGUUUUUACUCCUUUAGUGUGUGUUUUUUUCACUGUGAAACAAGCCGGGAUUUGAAGCCGAAACCGAAUACUCACCUUUUCGUAUACAUUCCGGUGGUGAAUCGAAUGACGAAAAUGUGGUAGUGAUCUUGCAGUCGAUUGUAGUGUUACUGUGAUCGCGCGAUUAGAAUGCGAAUUCGAGUCAACGGUUCGAGUGCUAAUGAGGAAUCACUGUCGUCUUCAACGAACACGGAAAUUAGCGCAGGUGAGCGAACUUUUCAGAUUAUUUUGGGUGAAAGUUGAACCUAUUAAGGACUCCUUUGCAAGUUUUUAAAACAAUUCCCCGUCUCAUCCAAACAAGAUUCCAUUGAUUUUUCCAAAGCGUUCUUUAUUUCGUCGAUGUUUCCAAUUUGAUCUUUAUUAAUAACUGCGAAUCCUUCGAAACGAAUUUCCGAUUUUUUUGUUACGUUUCCAUUUCUGGUUAAUGUUACGAAUACUUCGUCUAUUUGAAUUUCAACGUCAUUGUAUUGUUCGGGGGAGUUUGUUGUGACAUAUACGGUCGUGUUUGUCAUCUUUAAACGCAGUCCGACGAUACCAUUUUCAAGGUAAACGAUUUCUGUUGAUCUCAAAUCCGGCCAUUUUGAGAUUUUUACCUCUUGCAGUUUCCACUUGACUGAAUUUACU